GGGGUUGUGGCUCAGUGGUAGAGUGCUCACCUUGCAUGUGAGAGACCUGGGUUCUAUCCUCAGCACCACA
rnacentral:tRNA from 1 species